rnacentral:rRNA from 1 species
UACAGGGGGGGCAAGCGUUGUUUGGAAUUACUGGGCGUAAAGGGUCUGUAGGUGGCCAACUAAGUCAGACGUGAAAUCCCUCAGCUUAACUGGGGAACUGCGUCUGAUACUGGAUGGCUUGAGUGUGGGAGAGGAAUGCGGAAUUCCAGGUGUAGCGGUGAAAUGCGUAGAUAUCUGGAGGAACACCGGUGGCGAAGGCGGCAUUCUGGACCAUAACUGACACUGAGAGACGAAAGCCAGGGGAGCAAACGGG